UGCGGUUCUCUAUCCAUCGACUAGGGAGGGUUAGAGAGGAGCGACCGUGAGCAUUCAUCUAUCCAGUCCCGAUGCGAGGAGGUCGAUUGGAUCGGCCGGAGGAGGUGCGGGAUCGAGGUGCCAUUCGGUUCGGUGAAGGGGAUCGACCGGAUGAGUAGGUUCCGGGCCCAGCCGACCGAGUUGCACGAGGGGGAUCAGUGGAGGCGUAGGAUGCUGGUGGAGAAAGUCGUUGCUCGGUCUUCCAGAUCUAGCCGAGAGGGUCUCAAUUUAGGGCCCAGGGCAGCAGACCGUCAUGUCAAUUCGACUCCGUCGAUUCAGUAAUUGAAUCAUGGUUACAAGAGGCCAGUUAAUGGAAAUCGAUGUGUUCAGGUCAGUUUCGCUCUCGAUUCACGCUGUUCCUUUAAUCUCGCAUCCAUAUAAUCUCCAUCGUCUUUGCUUUCCUUCCUCAUUCCCCUCAUCGCUCCCGCAAAACAUUUUAUAGGAUGACCAUGGUGGACAGUUCACUCUGGUCGUUGAUUCGUCUUUCCUCUUCUGCCAAUGGCCUCUCCACGAUUCCCGCAAUUCUGCAUCGAGUUAUAGGUUUUUUAUGUAUAUUGUUCUUUGUGCUGUCAAAUAAAUGCAGGUUCUCUUUCUUGGUCAAUCAGACCUCGGUUCCAACAGGUUGGCUGAUUCUGCUGCAUUGCAAGGUGAGUCCCUACUUUCACAUUCAAUGAUUUCUUGCCUGAGAUUAAUAUGCUUAAACACAACAUCUUCCAAUUGCUCAUAGUGCUAAUUGUUACAGUGUGAGAGUUUUUGUUCGGGUCCAAUAUUCUUUCACACAGUGCAGAGUUGACUUUGAGUAACCCUGUUCUAUUCAGCUUUUCUAUUCUAAAUAAACGACAUGAGGACGGUGCAUAUCAGCGUCUUCUAUUUGAAGGUACUUCUUAUACAUAGAUAAACUCUUAUUUGUCCUGUAAUUUUCAAGUCCACUCUGUAUUUCCCACGCCUCACUUUCUAUGGAUGCAAAGGUGUUUGAACUUAGUUCUCAUUUGGUGCAUGUAUUUGGAUUGCUUGUAGAGUGAUUUUUAAAAUUGAAUUACUCAUCAGAACUAAAGGAUAAGCCCAUCGGUCAAAACGAGGGAAUAGAAAAACAUAGAGCCAAGCACUUGUUAAUGGUAUUUGUGUUGGUAAACUUGUACAACACCAUUUCCUCUUUGUUCAUGUUCAUUGUAAUCCAGAGACCUCAUCUUUGGUGUUGGAGCCUGAUUCAGGUGGAUUGAUUUGGGGAAUUGCAAUGGCUGUCGAACCAGGUUAGUAUGUAUCCACUGCAAUACGUCAUCUUCCUACUUCAAGAUCUCUCAGUGCGUGAAUGGAUUUAGUUAGUUAAAAUUUAUGAUGUCGUCUAUGUGUGGUCCACACCAUGCUUUGUUGGAUCGCAACUUCGGUUCCUAUUUGUCAGUAACGUUGUUAUGUGGCCAAAGCACAUCAUGAUUUCCUUUUGUUGGAUCAAUGACUAUAUAUGUGAGUUUGAAGGAAAGCUCUCUAACUUUGAGUGUGUGUGUGAGUGUGUUUUAGUUUUAUUACCUUCAUUUGAUUAGAAAUUAUGUAGGCGUUCACCAACAUUUUUUAAAAUUAUUUUCUCACUAACUUUAUGCAUAUUUUACUUGCUUCAGGUGUAGAAAAAAAAUCCAAAUUUCUUCAUCCAACAAAAAGGCUCGUGCAUGUAAUGUGGUACUCAGGAUGAUCGUUUGUCUUACCUAGCUACCUUUUCCUUUUAUUUUUAUUUUUAUCGGGCCAUGUGUAUUUUAAAUGUAACGUGUGUUUUCUUUCUUGUUCUCCGACAUAAUGAAAAUUUGAAUCCCUAAUUGAAUUGUCUAUGUACCCACGUGCACGUGUUAGGAUCUUCAACCUACACUCUCUUACUAUUUUAUCAUUUUUGUUUCAUGCAUCAGCUGGCCAUGACAAGUGUUCUAACUAUCUGCGCAACGUCCAUGUCAAUAGGGCAGAUAAAAUAAAGUUAUCGGAUUAACGGAUAUGUGAACAGAUUCAGUACAGAUGUUCGUCAAAGAUUUAAAUUUAUAAUUGGUCUAUAGCCAAGUAGUACCUGUAGGCAAACUGAGAGAUAGUGCAAAAGGAAUCAACAAAUAAUUCGUGUACUGAAAUUUACCUGUAGAUAAAGGGUUAUCAAUUCAUUUGUCCUGAACGAAUUUAUUCAAUUUGAAGCACUGCUUUCGAUUCGGCUGGUUG
rnacentral:lncRNA from 1 species